AUGCUUGCCUUUGAACAGCCUGAUAGCAUGCUUGAACUUGUUAACUUCAGAUGUGGUGCUUUCGGGGUAGCCAUUAUCCUGACAUCAGAAGUACCUGGCGCUGAGGUUGCAAGAACAUGUCCACUUUUGCCUUCUGUUAGCUGGCACUGCGCAGCAUAUACAAUACCACAUGGUCCAGCAGCUCAGGAAGAUGACGACUUUACACUGGAUGAACACUGCAGAAAGGGAUGCCUUGUUACAGUGAUUCUUCAUCAUAUGCAAGGGGCUAGUUCUGUGAUCAGGAAGGAGUUCCUCAACCUGGUUCAGACUGGCAUCAGAGUGGUGAGUUUGCUGUUUCCUGGAACACACACAGACAUCCUGUUCGGUCAUGGGCAAUUACAACUCCUUAAUUCUGAGCAGAAACCCAGGCAUUGCUUAGACUUUGACCUUUUUCCCCACAAGUUUCUACCGUCUUAGUUUUUUUAGUUUCUACAGUUAUAGUGCAGUUUUUCCCAUGACAGAGAGAGAAACUUGUCUUGUCACAUUUCCAGUUGAGCUAGAGCUGUCAGAGCUGUAAUUUUGAUUUUGUCCACAAAGAAAUGUAAAAAUUUUGUAAAGCACAGAAUUCCUAUUGUGCUACCAUGUGAAUUUACCACUUAACACCUCAGAUCUGUUCCGUCCCUUUAACUUGCACAGCUGGGCUGAUGGUGAAGCCAGACUUCUGGAACCUGCAGCACUGUACAAUUUCCUGGGCUCCAUUUUAUUAAAGGAAAAUGAAAGGUGUGGGGAAGGCAUCUUUGAGAGAGCUCAUCUGACACUAGCAUGAUGCAAACACCAGUGAAGUUAAGAUCUAGUUAGGAGGGGAGCUGUCUGUCUGCAUCAAAGUGUCAGUCAAGACUCCUUGAAGGGACAGAGGCUGUUUCUCUUUUCAGAAAUUUUUUUAAUGCUGCUUUUUCUCCUUUUCCUCACUCUUCUUUUCUUAUUUGAACUUAGAUCCAGGUACAUGAAAACAGGCCUUGGUGCCUUGUUUUGAAGCUAAUUGUGGAAAUUUUUUCUAACUUCACACUUGGCCUCUGUGAAAGUCAAGAUCUUGUAGGCUGCUGUAACUGCAUCAUACUCAAGUGGAAUAGGAGUCUGUUCAUGUAAAUAGGUAAUAGGUGCUACUUACUGUUCUCUUCUGUAUCUGCAAGUUGGUGAGUUUUCUGCAGAGUUCAACUGUAGAAACCAAACAAGCCGCUUUGAAGCAGAAGCAAAUUACUUUUAGCAAUGUGAGCAGAAAAUCUAAUAGCCACGCACAUGUAGUGUUGUUUUAUGUAUGUGCCAGUUCAGUGCCAUACGCUGAUAGUUUUUUUCAUGCUCCUUCCCAGGCCCAUCUUUUAGUCUUGCUGUUGUGAUCUCUGUCCACCAGCUUUACGGGGGUUACUCUGCAGUUUCCUUAGCAUAAUUUCAACCUACUGCUUAAGGAAAGUCCCUGUUCUGCAAGCUGCUGAGCAGCUAUUUUGAGUGGAAACUGACAGGACUCUCUACCUCAUAGCACUGUUUUCCACCUUUGCUAAAUUCAAAAGUGAUUUCAUAAGCUUGUCUUCUAUUCCUACUACUGAGAAAUAAGGCAACCAAGUGAUACAGAAACUACUGGGAUGAAAAAUGCCAUAGCCCCCUUCAAGGACAACUGAGAUGAAUCUAGAGCACAUUUUACAGAUAAGGUAGUACAGAUAAGGAUGACAUUUCAUGUGCUCUGGAUUGCAAAUAAACUGUCUACUCUCAUGUUUAAAUGACA
ensembl:lncRNA